UUGACCUCGGAUCAGGUAGGAAUACGCGCUGAACUUAAGCAUAUCAAUAAGCGCAGGAAAAGAAACCAACAGGGAUUGCCUCAGUAACGGCGAGUGAAGCGGCAACAGCUCAAAUUUGAAAUCUGGCCUCUUGGGGUCCGAGUUGUAAUUUGUAGAGGAUGUUUUGGGUACCGCCCCGGUUUAAAUUUCUUGGAACAGAAUGUCAAAGAGGGUGAGAAUCCCGUCUUGGACCGGCGGUAGGGCCUGUGUAAAACUCCUUCGACGAGUCGAGUUGUUUGGGAAUGCAGCUCAAAAUGGGUGGUAAAUUUCAUCUAAAGCUAAAUAUUGGCCAGAGACCGAUAGCGCACAAGUAGAGUGAUCGAAAGAUGAAAAGAACUUUGAAAAGAGAGUUAAACAGUAUGUGAAAUUGUUGAAAGGGAAGCGCUUGCAACCAGACUUGAGCGCGACGGUUCCCCUAGCCUUUUGGCUAGGCUACUCCGUCGUGUCCAGGCCAACAUCGGUUCUGAGGGUCGGUCAAAGGCCCCGGGAAUGUACCUACCCACGGGUAGACUUAUAGACCGGGGUGUCAUGCGGCCUCUCGGGACCGAGGAACGCGCUUCGGCUCGGAUGUUGGCGUAAUGGUUGUCAGCGACCCGUCUUGAAACACGGACCAAGGAGUCUAACAUCUAUGCGAGUGUUUGGGUGUCAAACCCGGAACGCGGAAUGAAAGUGAACGGAGGUAGGAAGCUUCGGCUGCACUAUCGACCGAUCCUGAAGUUUACGGAUGGAUUUGAGUAAGAGCAUAGCUGUUGGGACCCGAAAGAUGGUGAACUAUGCCUGAAUAGGGUGAAGCCAGAGGAAACUCUGGUGGAGGCUCGCAGCGGUUCUGACGUGCAAAUCGAUCGUCAAAUUUGGGUAUAGGGGCGAAAGACUAAUCGAACCAU
rnacentral:rRNA from 1 species